rnacentral:lncRNA from 1 species
AGUUUUUUGAGCUUGUGACAGCUGGGGUUGGAGAAUGCCCGAGAGAGAAGUCCUGGGCUGGGUCCCUGAGACAUGGUGCCCACCAUGGAAAUAGCUUGGAAGCUAGAGUCUGUCCAUCCUGUCUUGGGGUCAUGAUGAUAUUGGGGUUCAGCAAUGUAAGUCUGAUCUGCAGGUAUCCAAAGCUUCAGUCCUGGUCACAGG